rnacentral:rRNA from 1 species
GACGAACGCUGGCGGCGUGCUUAACACAUGCAAGUCGAGCGGUAAGGCCUUUCGGGGUACACGAGCGGCGAACGGGUGAGUAACACGGGGGUGAUCUGCCCUGCACUUCGGGAUAAGCCUGGGAAACUGGGUCUAAUACCGGAUAUGACCUCCUAUCGCAUGGUGGGUGGUGGGAAGAUUUAUCGGGGCAGGAUGGGCCCGCGGCCUAUCAGCUUGUUGGUGGGGUAAUGGCUUACCAAGGCGACGACGGGUAGCCGACCUGAGAGGGUGACCGGCCACACUGGGACUGAGGCACGGCCCAGACUCCUACGGGAGGCAGCAGUGGGGAAUAUUGCACAAUGGGCGAAAGCCUGAUGCAGCGACGCCGCGUGAGGGAUGACGGCCUUCGGGUUGUAAACCUCUUUCAGCAGGGACGAAGCGCAAGUGACGGUACCUGCAGAAGAAGCACCGGCUAACUACGUG